UUCCAUGAAACGUUAUAGGUUUUUUUCUUUCUCUCUUGCAACCCUUGAAUGUGUUUGUUGAUUGAUAUCUACACAUGUUGAUCAUCCUUGUGUUGAUCGAUUGGUUUAGAUGACCAUCAACAAACUCUUUCGUGGUUUUGCAUCGCUUCUUGGAAUCUCGAUCAUGUUUUUAGCAUC